CCCGAAUAAUCCUUUCGGUGCGCGCUGGAGUCCUCGGGGUGCCCCAACCCGGGGGGCACCAACAGCACUGUCCCUCCAGGGGGCCAAUUUGGUCCUAAACUGCAGGGGGAUCUUGCCUGUGUCCCAGACUGGUCCGGAGAUCUGAGGCCCUUCCCGAGAAAACCUCGGUGCCGGCGUGAAGGGCCAGAGAUCCCUUGGAGCCACGGGAGAGCAGGCACAGAGUCCCUCCUGGGGGGCAAUUCUGCUGCCUGAAAUCAGCUCUUCAAAGGAGCCUCUAAGACUCAGCUGGUGAGUUUUAGAAGCCAGGCAUUCCUACACACUAAGGUAUUUUAAGAGCUUACUGACUAAAAACACAUAAGGGUUUUAUCAUUGACAUCUGAACUUUCACAGACAACUCCUUUCCCCUUUCAGUACAAAAUUAUUUUCAUAGUAUCAUUUAAUAAGAAGUGCCCAGGAACCCCAGACCGUGCUUUCCAAAACAGAAAAAAAACAGAGGGAAGGACAAGUGUAACACACUCCAGAACAGACCCGACUGUAGUUUUACUCAUUGUGUUCAAAUACAGCAUAAUAAAACUCCAGCAGGAGUGCUGGCACAUUCCCAAUGGUAUCUGGCAAGUCCAUCCUACAGCUGCAGUAGGCAAGUUGGAGUCAUACAAGUCCCUUGUUCCUGCAGAUGCCUGGGGAUCCUCUCCAUCCGCCUCGUGCUCUCCCAACAGCAGAAAGGGUGACCUCAGGGACACGGUGGCACUCGACAUCCUGCUGAGAGAGCAAGGAAACCUUUUUUUGCUAGAGAGCACAGCAACCCCCCUGUCCUUGCAAACUGCCUCCUUGCAAAAGAGGAACCAGGUCUCCUGGACAUUUCUCCAACACUCAAGGUCUUUUGAAGCUGCUCUCGUGGCACCAAACCUGCUCGGGGUCUCUCCCAGCUGUUGGCUCUCCUUGGAGUUAACAGGCACACACUCCAUUCCAUCCUCCCCCAGCCAAACCCAAUUCUCACGGGCAGGACGGGCCCUGCCCUUCCCUGUCCAAGUUCCCAGCUCGGCCCAGCCGUGGGGACAGAGCAGCUUCCCAAGGCAGCUCCCGCCCGGCAGGAAGCACAACUCGCCACACUCCACCAGCCGCUGGGCACGGACCUGAGCUGAGCCCCAGGGAGGGCACGACUGGACAGAAAAGGAGCAA
rnacentral:lncRNA from 1 species